CUGAAACAACGAACACUGACAAACCUGAAACACACUUAAACAAACAUAAGAAAUAACAAAACAAAAUAAUAUGCUAUUAAUAAAACCAAAAAACAUAAAUUUUUACAAACUAAGACUCAAAUCGUAGUUGUGAUUGUGGCUCACAUCUUCCCUUGGUUUUACGUCCAAGAACGGCUUAAACGCCCUCUAUGGGUCGGGGAUAGGCUUCCCAUCCAGUUUUC
rnacentral:lncRNA from 1 species